rnacentral:rRNA from 1 species
AGAGUUUGAUCCUGGCUCAGGAUGAACGCUAGCGGCAGGCUUAAUACAUGCAAGUCGAACGGGAUCCGAGGUAGCAAUACUUUGGUGAGAGUGGCGCACGGGUGCGUAACGCGUAUGCAACCUACCUUUAACAGGGGAAUAGCCCCGAGAAAUCGGGAUUAAUACUCCGUAACAUUGCGGGAUGGCAUCAUUCUGCAAUUAAAGAUUUAUCGGUUAAAGAUGGGCAUGCGUGACAUUAGCUUGUUGGUGAGGUAACGGCUCACCAAGGCAACGAUGUCUAGGGGUCCUGAGAGGGUUAUCCCCCACACUGGUACUGAGACACGGACCAGACUCCUACGGGAGGCAGCAGUAAGGAAUAUUGGUCAAUGGGCGCAAGCCUGAACCAGCCAUGCCGCGUGCAGGAAGACGGCCCUAUGGGUUGUAAACUGCUUUUGUCAGGGAAUAAACCUGUCUACGUGUAGACAGCUGAAGGUACCUGAAGAAUAAGCAUCGGCUAACUCCGUG